rnacentral:rRNA from 1 species
CAAAUUAAUAAUUACAACUUUCAACAACGGAUCUCUUGGUUCUGGCAUCGAUGAAGAACGCAGCGAAAUGCGAUAAGUAGUGUGAAUUGCAGAAUUCAGUGAAUCAUCGAAUCUUUGAACGCACAUUGCGCCCUUUGGUAUUCCAAAGGGCAUGCC